AAACCCUAACCCUCCGCACUUCAUCUCGCAUCGCGUUCGCCGCCGCUCGGAUCCCCUUCCCACGCGUCCCUCCUCCUCCCUUCGUCCACCAUCCACAACCCCCUCGGAUCCCCUUCCGCCUCCCCCUCCGCUCCUCCCGCCGCCAGCCCGUCGCAGCUGCAGCCCGUCAGGCGUCCCUGACGAGUGGGGCGACUGCUCGCCCUCCGCGCCCGAGCCGCCCUCCCAGCCCGACCCCCCAAUCGACGACGACGAGUGGGGCCGGGACGACCCCUCGUCCUCCGGCACCGGGUGGGGCGAGCCGGGUGUGUCCGAACCCCAAUCCACCUCCGCCGCCGACGACGAGUAGGGUGGGGAACUGGGGAUCCGGCGCCACCGCCACCACCACCUCCUGCCACCGGCGGGGAUGGACCGUGGUGGGGGUGGGGGUGAUGCCUCCGUGGCGGCGCUGCUGCUGCCGUCGGCGCCGAUGGCGUACGCGGUGGUGACUGACCCGGGGACGGUCGACACCCCUGACAUGCCCAGCUACCAGCCAUACGUGUACGGCCGCCUCGACCCCCUGCGCUGAUCCCGCUCCAGAUGAAGGAGGUCGACCUGUCCGUCGACUGCGCGCUCGGCGAGGCCGCCGUCAUCCGUCCGCGCGCGGUGGUGGCUGCACUUCAUCACCCGCAGCCGCGACUGUGACGUCCGCGUCGUCGUGCCCAUGGGCGACCAGCCUUCUAAGACAAUUAUGUCAGGACCAACUAAUUUUCCUCCCUCUGGCCAUUUUGUGAAGACCUAAUGUUGUGGCACCACAGGCCAUAGUUUGAAUCUAAAGUGCUGCAGUUAAAUAUCUACAGAAUGUUGCACAUCAUGAAAAUCAGGGUAUGCUUCUCAUUCAGGCCAUAGCUUGAAUCUAAAGUGUAUGCAGUUAAUUCAGAAUGUUACCCAAGGUUGAAGCACCACAGAACACGGACUGUUGGAAGACAAUUUUCUUGUACAUGUGUUUGAUGAAUUGUAACUGAACACAUUUAAUUUUCCUAUGGACCAUUUGUAUAUUUCUAAAUCCGAUUUGAAUGAAUUUGUUGGUACUGAACUUAGAUGGACUAUUUUUGUAAACUUUAGAAACUUGAAUUUUGAUGUAUGAAUUGAGAUCGAUGUUCAUAUAUUUAUCCAAAUUGCUAGCAAAGGCCUGAGGCUAGCUAAAAAAA